AACGAACGCUGGCGGCAGGCCUAACACAUGCAAGUCGAGCGGACCCUUCGGGGUUAGCGGCGGACGGGUGAGUAACGCGUGGGAAUAUGCCCUUCUCUACGGAAUAGUCCUGGGAAAUUGGGGGUAAUACCGUAUACGCCCUUUGGGGGAAAGAUUUAUCGGGGAAGGAUUAGCCCGCGUUGGAUUAGGUAGUUGGUGGGGUAAUGGCCUACCAAGCCGACGAUCCAUAGCUGGUUUGAGAGGAUGAUCAGCCACACUGGGACUGAGACACGGCCCAGACUCCUACGGGAGGCAGCAGUGGGGAAUCUUAGACAAUGGGGGCAACCCUGAUCUAGCCAUGCCGCGUGAGUGAUGAAGGCCUUAGGGUUGUAAAGCUCUUUCAGCUGGGAAGAUAAUGACGGUACCAGCAGAAGAAGCCCCGGCUAACUCCGUG
rnacentral:rRNA from 1 species